GCCCUGGACGACGAGGAGCUCAACGCCUACAUCAUCGCUGGCCUCGAAUCCGACUUUGAGCCAGUGGUGUCCUCCAUCGUCGGCAAUACGGAGCCGGUUCCUGUCUCGGAGGUGUACACACAACUCCUAAGCUUCGAGA
rnacentral:snoRNA from 1 species